UGUGCAGCCUAAGGCAGCCCCGCGUGUGUGCAGCCUGAGGCAGCCCCGCAUGUCAGUAGGUGUGACGGAUGAUGUGUGCAGCCUACAGCAACCCCGCGGGUCAGUAGGUGUGACGGGUGAUGUGUGCAGCCUACGGCAGCCCCGCGGGUCAGUAGGUGUGACGGGUGAUGUGUGCAGCCUACGGCAGCCCCGCGUGUGUGCAGCCUACGGCAGCCCCGCAUGUGUGCAGCCUAAGGCAGCCCCGCAUGUCAGUAGGUGUGACGGAUGAUGUGUGCAGCCUACAGCAACCCCGCGGGUCAGUAGAUGUGACGGGUGAUGUGUGCAGCCUACGGCAGCCAUCAAUAACCUUAACAGUGCACUUCCAGAUAUUGUGUUAAUUGGACCGUAUCAAUCAUUAAUUCAUGUUUUGAUCUUUUAUCGCUUGUCUUCUUUCUGGACAAGACAUGUUUAACCUUUGUGAAAAGUGUCUUGAACAGAAAAGUAUAAAAAGUUCCAUUUGACAUAUCAUUAUUUGAUAGGCUUUGUCCAGCUCUCACAGUGUGAGUACUUAGUUUUAUUAAGUCGCUUUGGUUUUAUGGUAAUGUUUGAGAACUAAAGUAGUUUUAUCUUUGUUUUGUACUGGAGUCUCAGCAUUUAGUUCAAAUGCAUACCUGAAUCUUUAAGGAGUAGCCAGCUCAUGAGGAGUAUCUGUGAGGAGUAGCCAGCUGAUGUGGAGACUACUGGACCAGCAGAACCAUCCUUGUGUAGUUUUAAUGGUGUAAUGCAAGUUUUGUGAAAAUCUGCAUCCACUUCAAUAUAACAUGCAUCUAACAUACUGUCAGCUGUCACAUGAAACAGACAGGCUGUUCUUGCUACCUCAUAGCGAUGUGAUUGGUUGACACCUAAUAUGGUGGUAUGUGUCAAGACAUCUGAUUGGUUUAGUGUGAUUUGUUAUGAAACAUUACAGGUCAGUAUGGAAUAUUGGCCCUGAUGAAGAAACAGGGACCUGUUCCUUCCAAUGUUUCACAGAAUAAUGUGGAAUGUGUGAAGUGACUGCCUCCAUGUAUAGCUUCAGGUCAAGUUCUUUACCUUUGUUUUUACUGUUUUUAUAAGACUUUAUUUUGAUUCAUAUUCCCAUUAUUUAUUACUUUGAUUUUCCUGCAUGAAGGGGAGACAACUAGGAAAGAAGGUUCUGUUGUUAGGAAGCAGGAUGCUAGCCAGUUGAUACAGACUCGCGUAUCAACAAUAUACAUAAUAUGUCAUAACUUUCAAUAUCUGUACAACAUCCAAUCUCAUUAAAAUCAGAUCUUAGUUCUCGCUGCCGCUAAACAAAGAUCUGAGGACAUCCCAUUACCGGUCACGUCAGACCAACCUUUCGCAAACUCUGACCGACCAAUGGAGUUACUGACAAGAAGUCGACAUUAGCCAAUCAGAAGGCAGUUUUCCUGUGCUUUACGGCAUUAAUUUCAAAUUGGUGACUACGCUUCGAAACAUAUUUUGACAAAUUCUCGCUUAAAAAAUUGAAACCUGAACAAAAGAACGUUCUAGAAUGGCUAAUAUAUGGUCUAGAUCGUAUAGAUUCAGUCGUUAAGCCCAUAACUAUGGUUCGGAAUACCCCGUUUUAACGUUUUCGAGGCUGCAUGAUUAGAAAUUAGACCCCUAAUGGGAUGUCCUCAGAUCUUUGUUUAGCGGAAGCGAGAACUAAGAUCUGAUUUUAAUGAGAUUGGUACAAUAUCUAUCUGGUGGGGGACUCUGUCCAACCUGACAAUCUCAUCUGUUUGAGGUUAACAAACUUGCCUUGCCAAAACACUGGGACCUCAUCAAUAGUUAACUGUGUUCACCUCCAGCUAGGCAGUUGGCUGAUGUUCACUGCUUUCAUUAUUAAAGCUCAACAUUACUGACGUCUAACUUGUCUUCUAAACAUUACUGAAGUCUAACUUGUCUUCUAAACAUUGUUGACAUCUAACUUGUCUGCUAAACAUCUCUGACCUCUAACUGGUCAAUUGAUAGGUCACCUCCUUGAUUUCCUGGACUAACAAAUUUGCUUGGAUAGGUCAAAAUAAAAUGAAAAUAAAUUUGUGCAUCUGAAA